rnacentral:rRNA from 1 species
AGAGUUUGAUCCUGGCUCAGGAUGAACGCUAGCUACAGGCUUAACACAUGCAAGUCGAGGGGCAGCAUGGUCUUAGCUUGCUAAGGCCGAUGGCGACCGGCGCACGGGUGAGUAACACGUAUCCAACCUGCCGUCUACUCUUGGACAGCCUUCUGAAAGGAAGAUUAAUACAAGAUGGCAUCAUGAGUCCGCAUGUUCACAUGAUUAAAGGUAUUCCGGUAGACGAUGGGGAUGCGUUCCAUUAGAUAGUAGGCGGGGUAACGGCCCACCUAGUCUUCGAUGGAUAGGGGUUCUGAGAGGAAGGUCCCCCACAUUGGAACUGAGACACGGUCCAAACUCCUACGGGAGGCAGCAGUGAGGAAUAUUGGUCAAUGGGCGAGAGCCUGAACCAGCCAAGUAGCGUGAAGGAUGACUGCCCUAUGGGUUGUAAACUUCUUUUAUAAAGGAAUAAAGUCGGGUAUGGAUACCCGUUUGCAUGUACUUUAUGAAUAAGGAUCGGCUAACUCCGUGCCAGCAGCCGCGGUAAUACGGAGGAUCCGAGCGUUAUCCGGAUUUAUUGGGUUUAAAGGGAGCGUAGAUGGAUGUUUAAGUCAGUUGUGAAAGUUUGCGGCUCAACCGUAAAAUUGCAGUUGAUACUGGAUAUCUUGAGUGCAGUUGAGGCAGGCGGAAUUCGUGGUGUAGCGGUGAAAUGCUUAGAUAUCACGAAGAACUCCGAUUGCGAAGGCAGCCUGCUAAGCUGCAACUGACAUUGAGGCUCGAAAGUGUGGGUAUCAAACAGGAUUAGAUACCCUGGUAGUCCACACGGUAAACGAUGAAUACUCGCUGUUUGCGAUAUACUGCAAGCGGCCAAGCGAAAGCGUUAAGUAUUCCACCUGGGGAGUACGCCGGCAACGGUGAAACUCAAAGGAAUUGACGGGGGCCCGCACAAGCGGAGGAACAUGUGGUUUAAUUCGAUGAUACGCGAGGAACCUUACCCGGGCUUAAAUUGCAGAUGAAUUACGGUGAAAGCCGUAAGCCGCAAGGCAUCUGUGAAGGUGCUGCAUGGUUGUCGUCAGCUCGUGCCGUGAGGUGUCGGCUUAAGUGCCAUAACGAGCGCAACCCUUGUUGUCAGUUACUAACAGGUUCCGCUGAGGACUCUGACAAGACUGCCAUCGUAAGAUGUGAGGAAGGUGGGGAUGACGUCAAAUCAGCACGGCCCUUACGUCCGGGGCUACACACGUGUUACAAUGGGGGGUACAGAAGGCAGCUACACGGCGACGUGAUGCUAAUCCCUAAAGCCUCUCUCAGUUCGGAUUGGAGUCUGCAACCCGACUCCAUGAAGCUGGAUUCGCUAGUAAUCGCGCAUCAGCCACGGCGCGGUGAAUACGUUCCCGGGCCUUGUACACACCGCCCGUCAAGCCAUGGGAGCCGGGGGUACCUGAAGUGCGUAACCGCGAGGAGCGCCCUAGGGUAAAACUGGUGACUGGGGCUAAGUCGUAACAAGGUAGCCGUACCGGAAGGUGCGGCUG